CCUACGGGAGGCAGCAGUGGGGAAUAUUGCACAAUGGGCGAAAGCCUGAUGCAGCGACGCCGCGUGAGGGAUGACGGCCUUCGGGUUGUAAACCUCUUUCAGCAGGGAAGAAGCGAGAGCGACGGUACCUGCAGAAGAAGCGCCGGCUAACUACGUGCCAGCAGCCGCGGUAAUACGUAGGGCGCAAGCGUUGUCCGGAAUUAUUGGGCGUAAAGAGCUCGUAGGCGGCUUGUCACGUCGGGUGUGAAAGCCCGGGGCUUAACCCCGGGUCUGCAUUCGAUACGGGCUAGCUAGAGUGUGGUAGGGGAGAUCGGAAUUCCUGGUGUGGCGGUGAAAUGCGCAGAUAUCAGGAGGAACACCGGUGGCGAAGGCGGAUCUCUGGGCCAUUACUGACGCUGAGGAGCGAAAGCGUGGGGAGCGAACAGGAUUAGAUACCCUGGUAGUCCACGCCGUAAACGGUGGGAACUAGGUGUUGGCGACAUUCCACGUCGUCGGUGCCGCAGCUAACGCAUUAAGUUCCCCGCCUGGGGAGUACGGCCGCAAGGCUAAAACUUAAAGGAAUUGACGG
rnacentral:rRNA from 1 species